rnacentral:rRNA from 1 species
AUUGAACGCUGGCGGCAUGCCUUACACAUGCAAGUCGAACGGCAGCAUGAUCUAGCUUGCUAGAUUGAUGGCGAGUGGCGAACGGGUGAGUAAUACAUCGGAACGUGCCCUGUAGUGGGGGAUAACUAGUCGAAAGAUUAGCUAAUACCGCAUACGACCUGAGGGUGAAAGUGGGGGACCGCAAGGCCUCAUGCUAUAGGAGCGGCCGAUGUCUGAUUAGCUAGUUGGUGAGGUAAAGGCUCACCAAGGCGACGAUCAGUAGCUGGUCUGAGAGGACGAUCAGCCACACUGGGACUGAGACACGGCCCAGACUCCUACGGGAGGCAGCAGUGGAGAAUUUUGGACAAUGGGCGAAAGCCUGAUCCAGCAAUGCCGCGUGUGUGAAGAAGGCCUUCGGGUUGUAAAGCACUUUUGUCCGGAAAGAAAUGGCUCUGGUUAAUACCUGGGGUCGAUGACGGUACCGGAAGAAUAAGGACCGGCUAACUACGUG